UACGAAGGGGGCUAGCGUUGCUCGGAAUGACUGGGCGUAAAGGGCGCGUAGGCGGAUGGCUUUGUCGGGCGUGAAAUUCCAGGGCUUAACCUUGGGGCUGCGUUCGAGACGGGUUGUCUUGAGUGGGGAAGAGGGUCGUGGAAUUCCCAGUGUAGAGGUGAAAUUCGUAGAUAUUGGGAAGAACACCGGUGGCGAAGGCGGCGACCUGGUCCUUGACUGACGCUGAGGCGCGAAAGCGUGGGGAGCAAACAGG
rnacentral:rRNA from 1 species